rnacentral:rRNA from 1 species
AUUGAACGCUGGCGGCAGGCUUAACACAUGCAAGUCGAGCGGGGGAAGGUAGCUUGCUACCGGACCUAGCGGCGGACGGGUGAGUAAUGCUUAGGAAUCUGCCUAUUAGUGGGGGACAACAUCUCGAAAGGGAUGCUAAUACCGCAUACGUCCUACGGGAGAAAGCAGGGGAUCUUCGGACCUCGCGCUAAUAGAUGAGCCUAAGGCGGAUUAGCUAGUUGGGGGGGUAAAGGCCUACCAAGGCGACGAUCUGUAGCGGGUCUGAGAGGAUGAACGGCCACUGUGGGACUGGGACACGGCCCAGAUUCCGACGGGAGGAAUCAGUGGGGAAUAUUGGACAAUGGGGGGAACCCUGAUCCAGCCAUGCCGCGUGUGUGAAGCAGGCCUUAUGGUUGUAAAGCACUUUAAGCGAGGAGGAGGCUACUCUAGUUAAUAGCUAGGGAUAGUGGACGUUACUCGCAGAAUAAGCACCGGCUAUCUCUGUGCCAGCCGCCGCCGUAA